UCGUUCAUUCUUCCGCCCUGAAAAUGUUUUUUUGGGCAAAAGUCUGCAGUGGAUUAGGGAUUCCAAGUACAUCCAACAACAGAUACAGGAUUAAAAAAGCCUAUGACAAACAAAAGGACAAGUCAACAUCGGCAUCACCUGUAGACUCCGAUGUCCUUCCUGGCCCUGUCAAAAAGACACAAUCACCGUCACAGGGUUCAGGCCAGCUAUCAAGUAAUUCUGAUGAAAAGACAGUCAAUUUUUUUCCGACGCAAAGUUCCAGGGGACAAACGGUUUUUUUCAUUGACCAGAAAAUUUGGA